GACGAACGCUGGCGGCGUGCUUAACACAUGCAAGUCGAACGGUGAACCCGCUUCGGUGGGGGAUCAGUGGCGAACGGGUGAGUAACACGUGGGCAACCUGCCCCCGGCUCUGGGAUAACUCCAAGAAAUUGGGGCUAAUACCGGAUGUGACCGCUGACCGCAUGGUCUGGUGGUGGAAAGGGUUUCCGGCUGGAGAUGGGCCCGCGGCCUAUCAGCUUGUUGGUGGGGUAGUGGCCUACCAAGGCGACGACGGGUAGCCGGCCUGAGAGGGUGACCGGCCACACUGGGACUGAGACACGGCCCAGACUCCUACGGGAGGCAGCAGUGGGGAAUAUUGCGCAAUGGGCGAAAGCCUGACGCAGCGACGCCGCGUGGGGGAUGACGGCCUUCGGGUUGUAAACCUCUUUCAGCUCCGACGAAGCGCAAGUGACGGUAGGAGCAGAAGAAGCACCGGCCAACUACGUGCCAGCCGCCGCAGUAAUAC
rnacentral:rRNA from 1 species